GAUGAACGCUGGCGGCGUGCCUAAUACAUGCAAGUCGAGCGAACGGACGCGAAGCUUGCUUCUCUGAUGUUAGCGGCGGACGGGUGAGUAACACGUGGAUACCCUACCUAUCUGACUGGGAUAACUUCGGGAAACCGUAGCUAAUACCGGAUAAUCUUUUGCACCGCAUGGUUCAAAAGUGAAAGACGGUCUUGCUGUCACUUAUCGCUGGAUCCCCGCUGCAUUAGCUAGUUGGUAAGGUAACGGCUUACCAAGGCAACGAUGCAUAGCCGACCUGAGAGGGUGAUCGGCCACACUGGAGCUGGGACGCGGUCCAGGCUCCUACGGGAGGCAGCAGUAGGGAAUCUUCCGCAAUGGGCGAAAGCCUGACGGAGCAACGCCGCGUGAGUGAUGAAGGUCUUCGGAGCGUAAAACUCUGUUAUUAGGGAAGAACAUAUGUGUAAGUAACUGUGCACAUCUUGACGGUACCUAAUCAGAAAGCCACGGCUAACUACGUG
rnacentral:rRNA from 1 species